rnacentral:sRNA from 1 species
AGAGCCUAUCAAAUUCAUCAAGGUGGUCGAGUGGAUCCUCCAUUGGCAGACCAUGGAAUUUGUUCCCCUGAAUCAUCGAGAUGAGACCACUCUUAAUCUCGAAGUUGUUGUUUUGGAUAACAGGAGGUGCAAUUCCUUUCCUCUAACGGUGAUC